GCCAUCUAUAAUGCAAGAGAAAAGAGAAAGUCUUGGCUCAUUUGUGACUUUGGGGUGGAUUUUUUCUAGCUGACAGAGCAAAAGCAGGAAAUACUGAACAAACUUUCUUGAAUGGAAGAGUAUGGAAUGCUUUCUAGCCAAGAACCAGUGGUACCAGAUUUUAUUUCCAGUUCUGCCACACAGUUCAGGGAAGCAUGUUCUUCUUUUCACCCCAGUUCUCUCACUUGAAGAGUAGGACCACGGGGACCAGCCUCACUGAGCAGCAUUAUGAGACUUUAUGAAGCUGUCAGCCUUGAGCUCCUGACCUUCACCACAGGAGGCAGUGCUCCAGAGACCUCAUAGAGAGCUAAUGCACCUUUCUCCUACCCCGCAGCCACAGCACUUCUAAUCCUGCCAACACUCCCAGACUUGGAUAAAAAACAUGUGCUGUGGUCAAAUGUCCAGCCAGAACUAAACAGAUGUAUGCUCCUGAUUACCAGCCUGAAACAUUAGAGAACCUUUCCACAUUAACUGGAAGCAUUAACCCUGACCCCCAUAGCCUGCUCUAUGUGCCUGGCAGGCUGAUGGCCCACAGCAACUACCAACACAUAUCACAAUACUGCAGUAUGGAAGAGCAAACAGCAGGUACCUGGAGCCAUGGCAAUUUUCCCCUUCUCCUCCAAGAUGGCCUUCCCAUCAAAGGUGACAGCAGGCAGCAUCCUCUGUUCAAACAUGACAACGUUGCAUCUGUCCAAGUUGAAGUAGUUAUGUUGUACAAAAAACUCUUCUGUUGGCCCCAGUGUGAACUCACUUGUCAUGAUGUACCUGGGCAGGAAUGAGAAAGAACAACACAAGUGAAAGGCAAAACUACAGACUGAAAAGAGAGGAAUCCCAGGAGUGUGAAAUGAGAGACAUGGCAGCAUCCUGUGGUGAGCAAUUGCACACGAGAGCUCUCCUCCAGAACUCAUCCUGUGGUAAGGGCUGCAUGGGGUCCUAUGACCGUAUCAGGGCAUUAUCCUACCCUGGCCUAGCUCCAGCCAGGACAGAAGAGCCUUGCCCUAAAUGUGAACAACAUCUGCAUACCUGGAUGAGCUGGAAAACAAGACAUAGGGCAGAAAACAGCCUCAUUCACUCUAGAUUCAAACUGAUGUUAAAUGUCUAUAGAAACCCUGGCCAGUUCACUCUGCCAGCACCUCUUCAGUGCCAAGGCAAACAGCAGUAUUUCCAUAUGUUGGCUGCAUGGUUUGUUUUUGUCAUAAGUUUUUCUAUUUCCUCCUUUCCUUUCAGCUCCACAUUGCUUCUGUCUCUUCCUCCACCGCUGUCUAAAAGCCAACUUCAUCAUCUACCUGUCAAACUCUUCAACAACUAUCGGCGUAGGGAUACAGGGUCCUCUGUCAGCAUGAGGAAAAAGAGCCUGAACCUCAAUUCCCAUCCCCAAUUUUCAUCUCUGUAGCACACCAUAGCCUGGGCCCAGAUAUACUGGAGCAGCAAAAUGCUUCAACUGCCUCCUUGCUCCCAGAAGGGGAACUGGAAACAGAUGUGGCAUCUUGCAAAUAAUCCAUCCUGGCUUCCAGCAGCACCAGGAAUGAUGCAUUUGUAAUUCAGGUCCUGUAUACAAGGCUUCAGGAAGAAGCACAAUAUGGACUCAUGUUCCAUGAGGAAACAAUGUAUGAAUCAAAUCUGACCUCCAAUUUGUAAAACAACGUGGCUCCCUGAAGCCCUCAGACACCUGCUCUUUCACUGCCAAAACCCUGCCUCAGACCAGACACUGAUUCCAAAAGGGUAUUUCUACAUAGUCCUCAUGAUCUAACAGAACAUUUAGCAGACAACAUUUCCAGACACAUCUGCAGUGCCAUCCUCUCACCCACUACACCCCAUAGGGAAUUUACAUUUUGCACUCUGCCCAGAGCUCAUCUCUUUUGAAAGCCAGGAGCAGCCAGCAGAAUGGGCAACUGUAAACAGUGACAGCAGGAGGUGGCCUGAACACAAAGCAAGAGGUUUUUUGCAUAGAUUAUGGACAAGGGCAGGAAGAAGGGCUUGGAAGGCAAGCUCUAGGUUGUCCUCCAUGCAGGAACCUGAGAAAGCAGAAAUGGAUGAAAUUUCUUGUAAAGCAUCUGCAACAAUCACUGAAAAGUGCUGUUUACAGAGUUGUCAGUAGCUGCUUGCAAAGCCAGCAAGGUAUAGCACUUGUGGUAAAGUGUUAUGGUCAGUGAUACAAAGGCAGUACUCAAUCCCUCAGGUCUGCAGACAUAGACCUGCCACCUCUCAUCCCUCUGCACCCUCCUCCAGCUUCUGCCAUCACAAAUCCUGCCAACAAAAGGCUCCUCUCUACCUGUCUCUGUACAGCACCCAGCUCAGUGCUUCUUGAAGACAACAUGGGCAAGACUGGAAUGCAAAGAGCCCUGGACAGCAGGUCUGGCUUUAGGUCACCUACCACGGAAUGACACACUUGCAGUGGUGUCUCUUGCCAGCAAGCUGCUCCACUUUGCGGAUUCUUUCUGCUUGGAUCUGAUACAAGUUCUUGCCACUGGGCAACCCCACGUUGUACAUGCCCUUGGGAUAGCUGACUCCCAGACGGGUUCCUUGUCCUCCAGCCAGGAGUAGCACUGCCACCUUGUUCUGUGAAAUCUGAUGUAAACCUGUAAGAAAAGAAGCCCAAAGGAAUAUAAGAACUUCCAAAGCAAUCAACAUCCUAUGUUCUUCUCCUGAGCGUUUCUGCAGAGCUCAGGCAACAGCCAGAAGCUGCCAGUUCAAUGCUGGCAGCUCAGAGAGAAAUAUGCCACUGUACAUGCAGGAGAAAAUUCCUUUCAACUACUGGAUGGAACAGUUUCUUCACGUAAAGCAACAACUGGUGCAAAAACAGACAAUAGUCAUGAGCUGCAGCUCAGGAGAUUCAAAUUAGGAUACGAAAUCUUUAUUAGGGAGGUAAGACAUCCAGAGAGGAAGGAAUGUCCCCUAAGGUUUUCAAGGCUUACUUUAGUAAAGCUGUAGCUGACCUGGCCUGAGGCUGUUUACAGUUUUGUUCCAAAUGUGGGUUGGACUAGAGACCUCCAGAGGUCCCUUAUCAUUUCUAUAUCCCAAAGAAGCCAAGUCUCAUCAUCAUGAGUAAAGCAGGAAGAUUUCUGGAAUCUGCCUUAAUCAAUUAUCUUUACCUGUACUCCAGCUUCAACAGAAGCUGAACACAGCUGCAGUCAGGGCUAGUAAUACAGCCAAGCCUGCAGGAGCUACAACUUCCACAAUCUAAUUGAAACCAAUGUCAGUGCUCCUGACAAAUCAGGGAAGUCCAGAACCUGGGAAAGAAGCAGAGCACAUAAUAAACACUUGGAUCACUCUCAGACUCUGGUACCUGCCUUCUCCAAAGUCAGCAUCACAAUAAUGACUGACAACUGUGAGAAAGAUUUUUCAUUAGGGAACACUUUGAGUUUCUCUGGGGAUGCAAGGAACAUUAGGCUUGCCAUGUCAGAAGCCACAGCUCUGCUGCAAGUAGCUAUCACUAGCUAUGAGGGCCUUCUGCCAUCACACAGCACUAAACUGCCACUGCUCCUGCAGCCAAGGACAGCCUGUGGAGCACCCCAGCCUUCAGCAACCACCUCACAUUAACCACAGCUGAGGUUAAAAUAUUCCUGAUUUGGACUGAAACAUAUGGGGACCAAAGAAAUUUAAUUAGAAAAAAAACAGGACUGGGUUUAUGCUGAUCUUAAAACGAUUGGGUGUUUAAAUGAAUAAUAGAGCAAAAAUACCAACUGCUGUUUUAACAACCUAGCUCAAUUUUAAUUCUGUCCAAAACUGCAGCUUCCAGCAAUUUUCUCAGCAAAGACUUAAGUUGUCCAUGACAUUCCAGUAACACCAUUCCCCUUCCCAUGCUUACAAGUUUCAGUCUUACUACAGCAGUAACACAAGACUUUCUCCCUAAACACACGGCUUCCAAAAAGACUAGUGAUGUCCUGGCACAGAGGAGGCCAGUUCCACAGCCACGGUUCUGCUGUACAGUAGCCUCUGGGGUCACAGGGCCAAGGAGUGAGAGCUGGAAGCCACCUCUGGAGAUCUUCAAUCCUCCAAGUGGGAUUAGGAGAGCUUCCUAAGAAGAAACCUGUGUGUGGAGAUCUUGCGAUUUCUAAGUUUCAGAAGGUCCUUGGACAGCAGGGGAAGCUUGAGUAGGUUUAAAUUGGUAAUGUAAAACACAUGGAGGAUCUGGGUGAGCUGCAUGGUGAUGCAAGUAAGACAUACAGCAUUUCACAACAAACCAUAAGCAAUAAAUGACUCCUUUGUGCCUCCACUGAGCUCAAAGUGACGCUCAAAGUACAGAGCAGAGGGUCUCAGCUACUACUUACAACAAAUACUUGCCCCAGUCCCAUCACAUUCUUUUCCUGCAUGCUCAGCUGUUUGCCAGUGCAGGGCAUCACUGCAGGAGAAGGGAAAGAACUGAAUGGAGAGGCACCAGAGCAUGGCUCCAAACCUUCUCAUGCCCUGGCUUGGGUGGUGGCUGUUUCCGCCUACUGGGAUCCAGCACAGAAAGAAUUUAUGGAGCGGAAAAAAACUCCUAAAAAAGUUGCCCUGUGGGACACUUCCAAACUGUUCUGCCUCAUCCCUGGAAACGCUCAACACCUGGUUGGACAAGGCCCUGAGCAACUUCAUAUAGUGGAUGGCAUUCACACCCAUGGCAGGAGAGUUAGAAUAAGAUAAUCUUGUCCUUAACAUCCCUUCCAACCCAAACCAUUCGGUGGUUCUGUGACACAGGAAAUUAAAACAUUUUUUAAGAAUUCUUUUUCUUUAAAAUAAUCUACAACUGAAACUUGAGCUAAAGUACUUCACAGCAAUUUAAACCAAAGCUGCUUGAGGUCUGAGCUCAGCAUUUGCUGCUCUCAGUUGCUGUAGCAUGGGGGAUGCUGCUCUGGAAUGCAAUUGAGAUUCACCUACCAGUGGAACAAGUCAGGCACUUGUCCUGCUAGAUUUCCCCCCUGCACUGCCAGCCUCAAACCAACACACACACACAUUCUGAUGCAACAGACCAUAUCCCACAGAUCCCAAAUGAGGCAUUUCUGCAGAGCAAUAGAUUGUGACCAAGAGCACCAUUUACAUUUACUCUGAAGUCAACACUGUAUUGGGAAAGUCAAGGAGGUCCCUACUCUGCUCCACAGCAUCAAGGAGCUACAAUGCUCAGGCGCAGCUGGCAUCACCGCACUGAAAUGCAGAUGCCCCACAGGACAGUGCUGCAAAGUUUUCUACACAGUGACAAGGGGAUGGGAUCUGCCCAAGGAGGAGUUGCCAUCUCACACCCAUCUCCUGGAGGGGCCACUCACUGCAGGGUCUGAAACCUCAACCUCAGUGGGAUAAACUCAAGCCCAAAGCAAUAUCACUGAUAACAUCAAUGAUGUGACUUUUUUUACAGUCCAGCAGACUGACAGGGCCAUAUUCCAGGAGGGCUCACCAUGAUGAAUAAAAACAACCCAGACAGGGGAGUGCAUCUCAUCAUUUAUGGCAUUCUCAGUAUUUAUGAUACAACCCUACCACCCAGACAGUUUUUCCAAGUUCUGAUCUUAGGUCACCAUGAAAAUAAACAAAACCAAAAAUUUGAGUAAGUAGCUCUGCUCUGACUUCCCAACUGUAAAAUUACCAACAUUCACAACUAAAGUUCAUAAGAACUGACUCAUAUGCUGCAAUGGAAAGAUCUCCCCUUUAAAACAUCCACCUUAUUUUCUGCAGCAUAUGAAACACAAACAGCUCAACUAAAGAAAAAAUGUGUUGACUGCUGAGAUACCCACCAAUGCUGCAGUUAGUCCUACUCUGCAUAAAAAAUAAAAAUAAAAAUAAAAAUAAAAAUAAAAAUAAAAAUAAAAAUAAAAAUAAA